UUUAUGGAGAGUUUGAUCCUGGCUCAGGAUGAACGCUGGCGGCGUGCCUAAUACAUGCAAGUCGAGCGAACGGACGAGAAGCUUGCUUCUCUGAUGUUAGCGGCGGACGGGUGAGUAACACGUGGAUAACCUACCUAUAAGACUGGGAUAACUUCGGGAAACCGUAGCUAAUACCGGAUAAUAUUUUGAACCGCAUGGUUCAAAAGUGAAAGACGGUCUUGCUGUCACUUAUAGAUGGAUCCGCGCUGCAUUAGCUAGUUGGUAAGGUAACGGCUUACCAAGGCAACGAUGCAUAGCCGACCUGAGAGGGUGAUCGGCCACACUGGAACUGAGACACGGUCCAGACUCCUACGGGAGGCAGCAGUAGGGAAUCUUCCGCAAUGGGCGAAAGCCUGACGGAGCAACGCCGCGUGAGUGAUGAAGGUCUUCGGAUCGUAAAACUCUGUUAUUAGGGAAGAACAUAUGUGUAAGUAACUGUGCACAUCUUGACGGUACCUAAUCAGAAAGCCACGGCUAACUACGUGCCAGCAGCCGCGGUAAUACGUAGGUGGCAAGCGUUAUCCGGAAUUAUUGGGCGUAAAGCGCGCGUAGGCGGUUUUUUAAGUCUGAUGUGAAAGCCCACGGCUCAACCGUGGAGGGUCAUUGGAAACUGGAAAACUUGAGUGCAGAAGAGGAAAGUGGAAUUCCAUGUGUAGCGGUGAAAUGCGCAGAGAUAUGGAGGAACACCAGUGGCGAAGGCGACUUUCUGGUCUGUAACUGACGCUGAUGUGCGAAAGCGUGGGGAUCAAACAGGAUUAGAUACCCUGGUAGUCCACGUCGUAAACGAUGAGUGCUAAGUGUUAGGGGGUUUCCGCCCCUUAGUGCUGCAGCUAACGCAUUAAGCACUCCGCCUGGGGAGUACGACCGCAAGGUUGAAACUCAAAGGAAUUGACGGGGACCCGCACAAGCGGUGGAGCAUGUGGUUUAAUUCGAAGCAACGCGAAGAACCUUACCAAAUCUUGACAUCCUUUGACAACUCUAGAGAUAGAGCCUUCCCCUUCGGGGGACAAAGUGACAGGUGGUGCAUGGUUGUCGUCAGCUCGUGUCGUGAGAUGUUGGGUUAAGUCCCGCAACGAGCGCAACCCUUAAGCUUAGUUGCCAUCAUUAAGUUGGGCACUCUAAGUUGACUGCCGGUGACAAACCGGAGGAAGGUGGGGAUGACGUCAAAUCAUCAUGCCCCUUAUGAUUUGGGCUACACACGUGCUACAAUGGACAAUACAAAGGGCAGCGAAACCGCGAGGUCAAGCAAAUCCCAUAAAGUUGUUCUCAGUUCGGAUUGUAGUCUGCAACUCGACUACAUGAAGCUGGAAUCGCUAGUAAUCGUAGAUCAGCAUGCUACGGUGAAUACGUUCCCGGGUCUUGUACACACCGCCCGUCACACCACGAGAGUUUGUAACACCCGAAGCCGGUGGAGUAACCUUUUAGGAGCUAGCCGUCGAAGGUGGGACAAAUGAUUGGGGUGAAGUCGUAACAAGGUAGCCGUAUCGGAAGGUGCGGCUGGAUCACCUCCUUUCU
rnacentral:rRNA from 1 species